GCGGCGCCCACUAACCUGCUAGUGGGGGAGCCCCGCACCGCCGUGGCCAAUGGGCUUCGCCGCUUGCGGGACCGGCAGCCAGUGGGCGGGCGGGAAAGCUGGGCUAAGCCCUGGGGCACCCUGGGAGUCGUAGUUUUUCGCCGUCGAGGAGUUCCUGCAGAGCGGGCUCACCCCGCCCGGUUGCCAUUAGUUACCCGGACGCACCUCCCACCCCACCACCGGACGGAGUCUCACUUUGUCACCCAGGCUGGAAUGCAGUGGCGAGAUCUCGGCUCACCACAACCUCCGCCUCCCAGGUUCAAGCGAUUCUCCUGCCUCAGCCUCCCAAGUAGCUGG
rnacentral:lncRNA from 1 species